rnacentral:rRNA from 1 species
GACGAACGCUGGCGGCGUGCCUAAUACAUGCAAGUAGAACGCUGAAGGAGGAGCUUGCUUCUCUGGAUGAGUUGCGAACGGGUGAGUAACGCGUAGGUAACCUGCCUGGUAGCGGGGGAUAACUAUUGGAAACGAUAGCUAAUACCGCAUAAGAGUAGAUGUUGCAUGACAUUUGCUUAAAAGGUGCAAUUGCAUCACUACCAGAUGGACCUGCGUUGUAUUAGCUAGUUGGUGGGGUAACGGCUCACCAAGGCGACGAUACAUAGCCGACCUGAGAGGGUGAUCGGCCAAACUGGGACUGAGACACGGCCCAGACUCCUACGGGAGGCAGCAGUAGGGAAUCUUCGGCAAUGGACGGAAGUCUGACCGAGCAACGCCGCGUGAGUGAAGAAGGUUUUCGGAUCGUAAAGCUCUGUUGUAAGAGAAGAACGAGCGUGAGAGUGGAAAGUUCACACUGUGACGGUAUCUUACCAGAAAGGGACGGCUAACUACGUG